rnacentral:rRNA from 1 species
AAUCAACGCUGGCGGCGUGCCUCAGACAUGCAAGUCGAACGCGAAAUCUCCCUUCGGGGAGAAAGUAGAGUGGCGCACGGGUGAGUAACACGUAGGUAAUUUGCCUUCGGGUGGGGAAUAACAGCCGGAAACGGCUGCUAAUACCGCAUAAUGCAGCGGCUCGACAUCGAGACAGUUGUUAAAGCGGGGGAUCGCAAGACCUCGCGCCUGAAGAGAAGCCUGCGGCAGAUUAGCUAGUUGGCAGGGUAAUGGCCUACCAAGGCGACGAUCUGUAACCGGCCUGAGAGGGCGGUCGGUCACACUGACACUGACAUACGGGUCAGACUCCUACGGGAGGCAGCAGUCGGGAAUUUUGGGCAAUGGGCGAAAGCCUGACCCAGCAACGCCGCGUGAAGGAUGAAAUCCCUCGGGA